AUUAAAAUUAGGAAAAUUACAUUUCUUUCUAUUUAAUAAGGAUUUUAAUAAUUCGCUCUUCCAUUGCAUCA